UUGGGCAAUGGACGAAAGUCUGACCCAGCGACGCCGCGUGCGGGAUGAAGGCCUUCGGGUUGUAAACCGCUUUCAGCAGGGAAUAAGCGCAAGUGAAGGUACCUGCAGAAGAAGCACCGGCUAACUAUGUGCCAGCAGCCGCGGUAAUACAUAGGGUGCAAGCGUUGUCCGGAAUUAUUGGGCGUAAAGAGCUCGUAGGUGGUUUGUUACGUCGGUUGUGAAAUUCAGGGGCUCAACCCCUGACUUGCAGCCGAUACGGGCAAGCUAGAGUUUGGUAGGGGAGACUGGAAUUCCUGGUGUAGCGGUGGAAUGCGCAGAUAUCAGGAGGAACACCGAUGGCGAAGGCAGGUCUCUGGGCCAAUACUGACACUGAGGAGCGAAAGCGUGGGGAGCGAACAGGAUUAGAU
rnacentral:rRNA from 1 species